AACGAACGCUGGCGGCAUGCCUAAUACAUGCAAGUCGAACGAGAUCUUCGGAUCUAGUGGCGCACGGGUGCGUAACGCGUGGGAAUCUGCCCUUGGGUUCGGAAUAACUUCUGGAAACGGAAGCUAAUACCGGAUGAUGACGUAAGUCCAAAGAUUUAUCGCCCAAGGAUGAGCCCGCGUAGGAUUAGCUAGUUGGUGGGGUAAAGGCCCACCAAGGCGACGAUCCUUAGCUGGUCUGAGAGGAUGAUCAGCCACACUGGGACUGAGACACGGCCCAGACUCCUACGGGAGGCAGCAGUAGGGAAUAUUGGACAAUGGGCGAAAGCCUAAUCCAGCAAUGCCGCGUGAGUGAUGAAGGCCUUAGGGUUGUAAAGCUCUUUUACCCGGGAUGAUAAUGACAGUACCGGGAGAAUAAGCUCCGGCUAACUCCGUG
rnacentral:rRNA from 1 species